UACGUAGGGUGCGAGCGUUAAUCGGAAUUACUGGGCGUAAAGCGUGCGCAGGCGGUUCUAUAAGACAGAUGUGAAAUCCCCGGGCUUAACCUGGGAACUGCGUUUGUGACUGUAGGACUCGAGUGUGGCAGAGGGGGGUGGAAUUCCACGUGUAGCAGUGAAAUGCGUAGAUAUGUGGAGGAACAUCGAUGGCGAAGGCAGCCCCCUGGGUCAACACUGACGCUCAUGCACGAAAGCGUGGGGAGCAAACAGG
rnacentral:rRNA from 1 species